UACGGCAACAUCACGUAGAAAGACCGGGUCUCAUACGAUCCCCGAAGUUAAGCAACGUCGAGCCUGGUCAGUACCUACAUGGGUGGCUGCUUGGGAAUACUAGGUUCUGUA